rnacentral:tRNA from 1 species
GCCGUGAUCGUAUAGUGGUUAGUACUUCUGCGUUGUUGGUGUAACAACCCCGGUUCGAAUCCGGGUCACGGCA